UUCUGGGUGUCUUCUGGCCGUGUUCUGGAACAACUGCACCCUUGUCUUUGUCUCCAGAUGUUGAUAUGGCCCUGGGGGUGGCCGUCUUGAAGGAGGCCUGAUCUAUAUCCUGCCAGUCAGUGGAUGCGACAGAGCUGCUCACCGCCAAGACAUCUGCUGAAUGUGAAGGCUGGAGCAACAGCAACCCUCUUGGUCCAGCAAGAGGACUGGUCUAGCAACCCUCUAGGUAAUCUUGAGGGUGGAAGGCACACAGUAAGAGGGUGGACCAAGCAAGGAUGGAAGGACCCUGGGUCCCAUGAUUGGAGCUGUCCGGCAGCCACCA
rnacentral:lncRNA from 1 species